GGCAGCGAAGGAGAAAAUUUGGAGAUGGCUACUGGAGAAAGAUGACCAAUAAUUUUUGGUUUCGGUGCUAGUGGUGGCUUUGUGAGUUCGGUGUUGUUCAUCUUCCACCGCAACUUCCCUCGCUGGCUGCCCCGGCCGCUCAGAGCAUCGUCCCGGGGCCGCCACCGCCCUCGCUCCUUGCGGACGCGCCCGGCGCUAGAGCCCCUCUGGGGGCAUGGGAGCGCGGGCGGGGCAGCUGGACCCGGCGCGGCGGGCUGGGCAGGCAGCACUGCCGGCUCGGGGGCGGUCAGCGCCGCGGCGCGCCUCCGCCCUGCCCCGCGCGCGGCCCGUCG
rnacentral:lncRNA from 1 species